rnacentral:misc_RNA from 1 species
CAGAGUUGCAAAACUCCCAACCCUUGUGAACAGUACCUGAGAAUGUUGCCUCGGCGGAGCAGCCGCUCCCGUAACGGGAGCGGCCCGCCGCAGGAAACCCUAAACUCUGUUUUUUUGGAAUCUUCUGAGUAGCUAUACAAAUAAGUCA